UACGGGGGGGGUAAGCGUUGUUCGGAAUUACUGGGCGUAAAGGGCUCGUAGGCGGCCAACUAAGUCAUACGUGAAAUCCCUCAGCUUAACUGGGGAACUGCGUGUGAUACUGGAUGGCUUGGAUUUGGGAGAGGGAUGCGGAAUUCCAGGUGUAGCGGUGAAAUGCGUAGAUAUCUGGAGGAACACCGGUGGCGAAGGCGGCGUUCUGGACUGUUUCUGACACUGAGGAGCGAAAGCGUGGGGAGCGAACAGG
rnacentral:rRNA from 1 species